UACGUAGGGGGCAAGCGUUGUCCGGAUUUAUUGGGCGUAAAGAGCGUGUAGGCGGCCAGGUAGGUCUGGUGUGAAAACUCGAGGCUUAACCUCGAGAUGUCAUCGGAAACCAUUUGGCUAGAGUCCGGAAGAGGAGAGUGGAAUUCCUGGUGUAGCGGUGAAAUGCGCAGAUAUCAGGAAGAACACCAAUGGCGAAAGCAGCUCUCUGGGACGGUACUGACGCUGAGACGCGAAAGCCAGGGGAGCAAACGGG
rnacentral:rRNA from 1 species